rnacentral:rRNA from 1 species
UCCUACGGGGCGCAGCAGUGGGGAAUAUUGGGCAAUGGAGGAAACUCUGACCCAGCAACGCCGCGUGAAGGAUGAAGGUUUUCGGAUUGUAAACUUCUGUUGCGAGGGAUGAAGAAUGACGGUACCUCGUGAGGAAGCCCCGGCAAACUACGUGCCAGCAGCCGCGGUAAUACGUAGGGGGCAAGCGUUGUCCGGAAUGACUGGGCGUAAAGGGAGUGUAGGCGGCCUUUUAAGUUAUAUGUGAAAGCCCCCGGCUUAACCGAGGAACUGCAUAUAAAACUGGAGGGCUGGAGUGCAGGAGAGGG